AGUGAACGCUGGCGGUAGGCCUAACACAUGCAAGUCGAACGGCAGCACAGUAAGAGCUUGCCCUUACGGGUGGCGAGUGGCGGACGGGUGAGGAAAACAUCGGACUCUACUUUUUAGCAGGGGAUAACGAAGGGAAACAUACGCUACUACCGCAUACGACCUACGGACGAAAGCAGGGGAACUGCGGACCUUGCGCGAUUGAAUGAGCCGGUGUCGGAUUAGCUAGUUGGCGGGGUAAAGGCCCACCAAGGCAACGCCCCGUAGCUGUUCUGAGAGGAUGGGCAGCCACACUGGAACUGAGACACGGUCCAGACCCCUACGGGAGGCAGCAGUGGGGAUUAUUGGACAAUGGGCGCAAGCCUGAUCCAGCCAUACCGCGUGAGUGAAGAAGGCCUUCGGGUUGUAAAUCCCUUUUGUUGGUAAUGAAAAGCUGCAGUUUAAUACCCCGCUGUUCUGGCGGUACCCAAAGAAUAAGCACCGGCUAACUUCGUG
rnacentral:rRNA from 1 species